rnacentral:rRNA from 1 species
AGUGAACGCUGGCGGUAGGCCUAACACAUGCAAGUCGAACGGCAGCACAGUAAGAGCUUGCUCUUACGGGUGGCGAGUGGCGGACGGGUGAGGAAUACAUCGUAAUCUACUUUUUCGUGGGGGAUAACGUAGGGAAACUUACGCUAAUACCGCAUACGACCUACGGGUGAAAGCAGGGGAUCUUCUGACCUUGCGCGAUUGAAUGAGCCGAUGUCGGAUUAGCUAGUUGGCGGGGUAAAGGCCCACCAAGGCGACGAUCCGUAGCUGGUCUGAGAGGAUGAUCAGCCACACUGGAACUGAGACACGGUCCAGACUCCUACGGGAGGCAGCAGUGGGGAAUAUUGGACAAUGGGCGAAAGCCUGAUACAGCCAUACCGCGUGGGUGAAGAAGGCCUUCGGGUUGUAAAGACCUUUUGUUGGGAAAGAAAAGCAGCAGGUUAAUACCCCGCUGUUCUGACGGUACCCAAAGAAUAAGCACCGGCUAACUUCGUG